GAUGAACGCUGGCGGCGUGCCUAAUACAUGCAAGUCGAACGCUGGAGAUCUAGCUUGCUAGAUCGAAGGAGUGGCGAACGGGGGAGUAAUACAUAAGCAACCUACCCACGAAGACUGGGAUAAUCUCUGGAAACGGGGACUAAUACCGGAAAGGUAAUCGGAAGGCAUCUUCUGGUUAUUAAAGGUUACAAAUACUGGUGGUUGGGCUUAAGGCGCAUUAGUUAGUUGGUGAGGUAACGGCCCACCAAGACGAAGAAGCGUAGCCGGACGGGGAGGGUGAACGGCCACAUUGGGACUGAGACACGGCCCAGAGUCCUACGGCACGGAGCAGUAGGGAACGGUCGGCAAUAGGGGCAAACCUGACAGAGCAGCGCCACGUGAGAGAAUACGGCGUUCGGGGUGUAAAGCUCUGUUGUAAGGGAAAAAGGGUAGAUAGAGAAGAUCUAAGUGACGGUACCUUAUCAGAAAGCCACGGCUAACUACGUG
rnacentral:rRNA from 1 species